rnacentral:tRNA from 1 species
CGGGUGUAGUUUAAUGGCAAAACAAGAGCUUCCCAAGCUUUCGACGAGGGUUCGAUUCCCUUCACCC